GAUGAACGCUGGCGGCGUGCCUAAUACAUGCAAGUCGAGCGAACGGACGAGGAGCUUGCUUUUCGGAUGUUAGCGGCGGACGGGUGAGUAACACGUGUAUAACCUACCUAUAAGACUGGGAUAACUUCGGGAAACCGGAGCUAAUACCGUAUAAUAUUUUGAACCGCAUGGGUCAAAAGUGAAAGACGGUGUUGCUGUCUCUAAUCGCUGGAUCCGCGCUGCAUUAGCUAGUUGUUAAGGUAACGGCUUACCAAGGCAACGAUGCAUAGCCGACCUGAGAGGGUGAUCGGCGACACUGGAAGUGAGACACGGUCAAUACUCCUACGGGAGGCAGCAGUAGGGAAUCUUCCGCAAUGGGCGAAAGCCUGACGGAGCAACGCCGCGUGAGUGAUGAAGGUCUUCGGAUCGUAAAACUCUGUUAUUAGGGAAGAACAUAUGUGUAAGUAACUGUGCACAUCUUGACGGUACCUAAUCAGAAAGCCACGGCUAACUACGUG
rnacentral:rRNA from 1 species